UUUCCUAUAUUCUGAUUGUUAACAAACUAUUCAUUUAUACAAAUUGUCAAUAGCUAGCUUUCUCUCCAUCUUUCGACAAUGUUUUGGACGUUCAAUGUCUUGGUUUAUCAUAAUCUUUCCAAGUGUAAAUAAUUUUUUAAAGCUUCAUGUCGGUUUGAAGAAAACAUUUUGGUUAAAUACCUGCGAAUAUAAAUACGCUUCAUAAACUUGCAGUGAGAUGAGAAGUUUGUUUUUUGCUCCGUGUUGAAGACCUCACUGUGACUUUUAAAUGAAGAUCAGCAAUUAAAGAGCCGUUCCGUUGCUUUUGUAUAUUCCUUUUAUUGUUGCUGUGCAUGUACUUUUUUUCAUGGAAGGAUACCCCAUAUCCUUUGUGUUUUUAUUAUGUGUUAAUUUGAAAGUUAACUCUUUUGUUAUGUAUUGUGUUUGCUAUAAUUAUUAACG
rnacentral:lncRNA from 1 species